UUUUGGGUCUCCUAUCAUCAU
rnacentral:misc_RNA from 1 species